AAGGAUCAUUAUCGAGUUAGGGUCCUCUGGGCCCCAUCUCCAACCCUUGCUUAUAUUACCACGUUGCUUUGGCGGGCCCGUCUUCGCGACCGCCGGGGACUUCUGCCCCUGGCCCGUGCCCGCCAGUAGCCCAGCCAAAUUCUAUUGAUCAGUGAUGUCUGAGUUUAGUUAUAAUAGUUAAAACUUUCAACAACGGAUCUCUUGGUUCUG
rnacentral:misc_RNA from 1 species